UGAUCCUGGCUCAGGAUGAACGCUGGCGGCGUGCCUAAUACAUGCAAGUCGAGCGGUAAGGCCACUUCGGUGGUACACGAGCGGCGGACGGCUGAGUAACACGUAGGAACGUACCCCAAACUGAGGGAUAAGCACCAGAAAUGGUGUCUAAUACCGCAUGUGGCCUAAGGGCUAAAGCUUCGGCGGUUUGGGAACGGCCUGCGUCCGAUUAGCUAGAUGGUGAGGUAAUGGCUCACCAUGGCGACGAUCGGUAGCUGGUCUGAGAGGAUGAUCAGCCAGACUGGGACUGAGAACGGCCCAGACUCCUACGGGAGGCAGCAGUAGGGAAUUUUCCACAAUGGGCGAAAGCCUGAUGGAGCAACGCCGCGUGCAGGAUGAAUGCCUUCGGGUUGUAAACUGCUUUUAUCUGUGACGAAUAUGACGGUAGCAGAGAAUAAGGAUCGGC
rnacentral:rRNA from 1 species